rnacentral:rRNA from 1 species
UACGUAGGUGGCAAGCGUUGUCCGGAUUUACUGGGCGUAAAGCGCGCGCAGGCGGUUCGCUAAGUCCGGAGUGAAAGCUCCCGGCUCACCUGGGAGAGGGCUUUGGAGACUGGCGGACUGGAGACAGGCAGAGGCCGGUGGAAUUCCUGGUGUAGUGGUGAAAUGCGUAGAGAUCAGGAGGAACACCCGUGGCGAAGGCGGCCGGCUGGGCCUGUUCUGACGCUGAGGCGCGAAAGCGUGGGGAGCGAACCGGAUUAGAAACCCCCGUAGUCC